rnacentral:ncRNA from 1 species
CAAAGGCUUGGUCCUGACUUUACUAUCAGCUUUAGCCCAAUUUAUACAUGCAAGUAUCCGCACCCCCGUGAGAAUGCCCUCAAUCCCCCAACCGGGGACAAGGAGCAGGCAUCAGGCACAUCAAAUCUUAUGCCAGCCCAAGACGCCUUGCUACGCCACACCCUCAAGGGAAUUCAGCAGUAAUAAAUAUUAAGCUAUAAGUGAAAACUUGACUUAGUUAGAGCUAAGAGGGUCGGUAAAAUUCGUGCCAGCCACCGCGGUUAUACGAAAGACCCUAGUUGAUAUUUACGGCGUAAAGGGUGGUUUAGGGUAGACACAAAUAAAGUUAAAGAAUCUCUAAGCCGUCGCACGCACCCCGAGAGCUCGAAGCCCCAAAACGAAAGUAACUUUAAAACACACUCACCUGACCCCACGAAAGCUAAGAAACAAACUGGGAUUAGAUACCCCACUAUGCUUAGCCUUAAACCAAGAUGUUAACUUACACACACAUCCGCCCGGGUACUACGAGCAUAGCUUAAAACCCAAAGGACUUGGCGGUGUCUCAGACCCACCUAGAGGAGCCUGUUCUAGAACCGAUAAACCCCGCUAAACCUCACCACUCCUUGUUUUUCCCGCCUAUAUACCGCCGUCGUCAGCUUACCCCGUGAAGGUUUAAAAGUAAGCAAAAGUGGUACACCCAAAAACGCCAGGUCAAGGUGUAGCGAAUGGAGUGGGAAGAAAUGGGCUACAUUUUCUACAUAACAGAAUAUCACGAACGACACCCUGAAACACAUGUCUGAAGGUGGAUUUAGCAGUAAAAAGAAAAUAGUGUGUCCUUUUGAAUUAGGCUCUGAGACGCGCACACACCGCCCGUCACUCUCCCCCACCCAUAUAAAACCUUAACAACACUCUCUAAGAACAAAACCAAAGAUACGGGGAGGCAAGUCGUAACAUGGUAAGUGUACCGGAAGGUGUACUUGGAAUAAU